rnacentral:rRNA from 1 species
UACGUAGGGUGCGAGCGUUGUCCGGAAUUAUUGGGCGUAAAGAGCUCGUAGGCGGUGUGUCACGUCGGCCGUGAAAACCUGGGGCUCAACUCUGGGCGUGCGGUCGAUACGGGCAUCACUAGAGUUCGGUAGGGGAGACUGGAAUUCCUGGUGUAGCGGUGAAAUGCGUAGAUAUUGGGAAGAACACCAGUGGCGAAAGCGGACUUCUGGGUUGUUACUGACGCUGAGGUACGAAAGCGUGGGGAGCAAACGGG